AAAGAUUAAGCCAUGCAUGUCUAAGUAUAAACGAUUUAAUCGUGAAACCGCGAAUGGCUCAUUAUAACAGCUAAAAUCUACUUGACCUUGACACAAUCCUACUUGGAUAACUGUGGUAAUUCUAGAGCUAACACAUGCAUUAAAGCUCUGACCUCACGGGACGAGUGCAUUUAUUAGAACAAAACCAAGCGGCUUCGGCUGUUUUCGGUUGACUCAUAGUAACUGAGCUGAUCGCAUGGUCUUGCACCGGCGACGUGUCUUUCGAGUAUCUGCCGUAUCAACUUUCGAUGGUAGUGUAUCUGACUACCAUGGUGAUCACGCGUAACGGAGAAUAAGGGUUCGACUCCGGAGAGUUCGCCUGAGAAAUCGCGAACACAUCUAAGGAAGGCAGCAGGCGCGAAAAUUACCCACUCUCAGCACGAGGAGGUAGUGACGAAAAAUAACGAGACCGUUCUCUUUCGAGGCCGGUCAUCGGAAUGGGUACAAUUUAAACCCUUUAACGAGUAUCUAUGAGAGGGCAAGUCUGGUGCCAGCAGCCGCGGUAAUUCCAGCUCUCAAAGUGCAUAGAAUUAUUGCUGCGGUUAAAGAGCUCGUAGUUGGAUCUGUGCCUAUUGGACGGGGUCCACCUUCUGGGUGCGUACUCCGCUCCGAGGCUUUUUGCUGGUUUUCCCGUCGUAGCCUUGAUUGGUUGCGGCGGGUGGCUGGCGAGUUUACUUUGAGAAAAUCAGAGUGCUCAACACAGGCGUCUAGCUUGAAUGAUUGUGCAUGGAAUAAUAGAAAAGGAUUUCGGUCCUCUUUUAUUGGUUUUGUGGACUGAGAUAAUGGUUAAGAGGGACAAACGGGGGCAUUCGUAUCGCUGCGUGAGAGGUGAAAUUCUUGGACCGUAGCGAGACGCCCUACUGCGAAAGCAUUUGCCAAGAAUG
rnacentral:rRNA from 1 species